GAAGCCGUAGCUCAGUGGUAGAGCAUCUGCUUUGAAUGCACAAUGUCCCAGGUUCAAUCCCUGGUGUCUCCA